AUUUCCUUAGCUCAAUUGGUAGAGUGUGCGACGUAUAGUCGUGAGGUUGCUGGUUCGAGUCCAGCAGGGAAUA
rnacentral:tRNA from 1 species